rnacentral:rRNA from 1 species
AUUGAACGCUGGCGGCAUGCCUUACACAUGCAAGUCGAACGGCAGCACGGGAGCAAUCCUGGUGGCGAGUGGCGAACGGGUGAGUAAAGUAUCGGAACGUGCCCAGUCGUGGGGGAUAACGUAGCGAAAGUUACGCUAAUACCGCAUACGACCUAUGAGUGAAAGCGGGGGAUCGCAAGACCUCGCGCGAUUGGAGCGGCAGAUAUCAGAUUAGGUAGUGGGUGGGGUAAAGGCUCACCAAGCCGACGAGCUGUAGCUGGUCUGAGAGGACGACCAGCCACACUGGGACUGAGACACGGCCCAGACUCCUACGGGAGGCAGCAGUGGGGAAUUUUGGACAAUGGGCGAAAGCCUGAUCCAGCCAUGCCGCGUGCAGGAUGAAGGCCUUCGGGUUGUAAACUGCUUUUAUACGGAACGAAAAGGUUUGGCCUAAUAAGCUGAGCUCAUGACGGUACCGUAAGAAUAAGCACCGGCUAAUUACGUGCCAGCAGCCGCCGCCG